CAUUUAUUUAUUUAUUAUUACAUACAACAUUUUCUUAUCAACUAUAUCUUCAAUCUAUGUUCGACAAAACCGUUUACACGGUUUGUCUGCGAAAUAAAAUGUAUGUACAUUGUCCAAACCAAUCAAAAACGCCUUGCGUAAUUAAUAGCCGACCCCUUACAUAAAACCAGGAUAUUAUAUAGGUACUGAAUUACAUAUUAACUUAGUACCUAAAAGUAUUGAUCGUGACCUGCGCAGUGCAGUUAGAGCUUUCUAGACCAGACUUCCCUUUGUCUGAGUAUCCAGUGCGUCGCCCGACGUCUGCCGUGCAGCACGCGUGGCUCCUACUAGGAGUGCCGGGGUCCAGGGCUUGGAGUCCAUCACCAGGACUUAAAAGUUCUAAGGUUGAAGAUGAGCUACCAUCAUUGGAAGAUACUGAUGUACCAGCUCGCAUUCUCUCCCCACGUGGCGUUGCUCCGGCACGUGGCACGCGGCGCCACUUGAGCGCGCUGCGACGGGGCGCAAGUGGCGCCACCAACACCUGAAGCGCCAAAGUCAACCUCACCUGCACGCGGCGCGCCCUGCUCACACCGACGAGGCUCUGACGGCUACAAAAUAUGUUGAAUUCUUUAUAAGACAUUUGACAUAUUUAUGUAGUAUUUAGUUGUUAAAAUUUUUUAAUAUUAUAUUCUUAUAGAGAAAUACGACACACCCACACAUAUAUGUAAUGUUUAUUAUAAGACAUUCGCAAAACAAGUAUAUUUGAAAUAGGCUAAGAUUAAUUAUAAGUUAGGUUAAG